CCUACGGGAGGCAGCAGUGGGGAAUAUUGCACAAUGGGCGCAAGCCUGAUGCAGCGACGCCGCGUGAGGGAUGACGGCCUUCGGGUUGUAAACCUCUUUCAGUAGGGAAGAAGCGAAAGUGACGGUACCUGCAGAAGAAGCGCCGGCUAACUACGUGCCAGCAGCCGCGGUAAUACGUAGGGCGCAAGCGUUAUCCGGAAUUAUUGGGCGUAAAGAGCUCGUAGGCGGUUUGUCGCGUCUGCCGUGAAAGUCCGGGGCUCAACUCCGGAUCUGCGGUGGGUACGGGCAGACUAGAGUGAUGUAGGGGAGACUGGAAUUCCUGGUGUAGCGGUGAAAUGCGCAGAUAUCAGGAGGAACACCGAUGGCGAAGGCAGGUCUCUGGGCAUUAACUGACGCUGAGGAGCGAAAGCAUGGGGAGCGAACAGGAUUAGAUACCCUGGUAGUCCAUGCGUAACGUUAGGUCGACUAGGUGGUGGGACGAUACUACGUUUCCGUCGCCGUACGCUACGCAUAAGUGCCCGCCGUCGGGAGGUACGGCCGGCCGACGGACGUAAACCGUACGAAAGAAAGUUAGUACGGCGUUGAGACGUUGCCGACGGACGACGACGAGGGAGGAGG
rnacentral:rRNA from 1 species